AUGUUCUCUGUGUCUCUAGUGCUGCUACUGGCAGCCACAUCCUAUGUCCACUCUGAUGAGCUGAUUCAGCCUGACUUUCAGACUGUCCAUCCAGGUCAGCAAAUGACCAUCAACUGUAAGGUCUCAUAUUCAGUCACUGACUACGCUACAGCUUGGAUUCGACAAUCAGCUGGAAAAGCUCCAGAGUAUAUUGGAUUUAUCAACAGUGGUGGGAGCUUAGACUACAAAGAGUCUCUGAAAAACAAGUUCAGCAUCUCAAGAGACACCAGCAGUAAAACAAUAACAUUACAAGGGAAUAAUCUACAGACUGAAGACACAGCUGUGUAUUACUGUGCCCGUUACACACAGUAUUAUGAACUAGCAGCUAUCCCAUGCAAACACAUCUAUGUAGGCACACUCCCAGCUCUCGGCUUUAUUUUCUUGGUUAUGUUUGCCGUGGUAGUGGCGCAAUCGCUUUUGUUUGUAGCUUCACCUGCCUCGCCGUAG